GAUGAACGCUGGCGGCAUGCCUAAUACAUGCCAGUCGAGCGAACAGACGAUGAGCUUGCUACUCUGACGUUAGCGGCGGACGGGGGAGUAACACGUAGAUAACCUACCUAUAAGACUGGGAUAACUUCGUGAUACCGGAGCUAAUACCGGAUAAUAUAUUGAACCGCAUGGUUCAAUAGUGAAAGACGGUUUUGCUGUCACUUAUAGAUGGAUCCGCGCCGCAUUAGCUAGUUGGUAAGGUAACGGCUUACCAAGGCAACGAUGCGUAGCCGACCUGAGAGGGUGGUCGUCCACACUGGAACUGAGACACGGUCCAGACUCCUAAGGGAGGCAGCAGUAGGGAAUCUUACGCAAUGGGCGAGAGCGUGACGGAGCAACGCCGCGUGAGUGAUGAAGGUGCUCGGAUCGUAAAACUCUGUUAUUAGGGAAGAACAAAUGUGUAAGUAACUAUGCACGUCUUGACGGUACCUAAUCAGAAAGCCACGGCUAACUACGUG
rnacentral:rRNA from 1 species